UCUUUGAUAACAAGAGCCAAUAACAUAUAGAGCCCAGAAGAGUCGUCUUGAGCCACAGCUCACACAACUGUGCCAUUCGCCCACUGGGGUUCACCUCUUCCAUUGGGACCAGAUUCCAGCAGAAACUACCACACUGACACAGAGAUGAAUGAAAAACACCCAGGAUAUGCAGAGUUGAAACACAUCCCUUCCAAGAAGCAGAUGCAGAAAAGACAAAAGAGCAGCUAAUUUACGCAGAAGGGAAAAUAUGCGCUACAAAGUCCAAUCGGACAAAGAUAACAAGAACUGAAUCACCUGAAGAAAAAGGUAAAGUUUAUGUAGAGGACCUAGCUUACCUGUCCUCCAAUUGCUCAGCUUACCACGGCCGCAAAAAACUAAGUUAGCCUGCCCAGUUUCAUGAGGUUGCUUAAACUAUAUCUUAUAAUCUAAACAAAAAAAAUGGUAUUGAAAGUGAAAUGUCCAUAUUUAGUAUAUUCCAGAUAACUAAUGUAGUUUGGGUGCUAUAUACAUAAAUUCAUAACUGAGCAAAUCAAGCAGGAAAAUUACUGCUUUUCAAUUUGGAAACAAUUGUGAAUCUCCUGAUGUCUAUAUCCACUCAUUUUAUGAAGUUUCAAGAAACAAUAUUUGAUUAACAUUGUUUGAUACAUGUUUGGAAUUAUAAUUUCUUCUACUGUUGAAGAACUGUAGUGAGGCUCCAAUGAGAAAAUGAUGGAUAUAUAUGCAAGCAUAUGAUAUUUACAGGAUAAUAAAUAUCUUCUGAUUAUGGGUCAAUAAAAUUGACUAUACAGAUAUGUUUUACUUAUUUAUUUAUUUAUUUAUGGCUGCGUUGGGUCUUCGUUUCUGUGCGAGGGCUUUCUCUAGUUGUGGUAAGCAGGGGCCACUCUUCAUCGCGGUGCGCGGGCCUCUCACUAUCGCGGCCUCUCUUGUUGCAGAGCACAGGCUCCGGACGCGCAGGCUCAGUAGUUGUGGCUCAUGGGCCCAGUUGCUCCGCGGCAUGUGGGAUCUUCCCAGAUCAGGACUCGAACCCGUGUCCGCUGCAUCGGCAGCCAGAUUCUCAACCACUGCGCCACCAGGGAAGCCCCAGAUAUGUUUUAUUUAGAAGUAUGUUUGCAUCUCAAAAACCAAGUCCUCAUAUCUAGUAUUCACUUUGUAUUCAUAAAUCAUGGAGAUGAAUCAGAGGAUUAUUUUGGUAAAGAUAGAAUAAGUGAAUUCCCUCAGAGGUAUAUAGUGGCAGAAUAGGGAGUAGAACCCUGGCAUCUAACUCUCAGUCCGUUGAUGUUUCAAAUUGUCCAGUAUCCCUUUCAAUUUAUGAUUUCAAGUUUGAAGACAUUCAAGAGUUAGGGUCUUGAAUUUACGGAACGUCCCCCUCUAAGCCCUGUAACUCAGUCUUUCCCCUGCU